rnacentral:tRNA from 1 species
CGAGCGGAUAGCGCGCGGCGAGCUCGGGCGCCGCCUCGGCCGAUUCGAACGGCGGCAGGUAGUCGGGCACGGGUUCCAUGCCCAUCUGCUCGA